GACGAACGCUGGCGGCGUGCUUAACACAUGCAAGUCGAACGGAAAGGCCCUGCUUUGGUGGGGUGCGCGAGGGGCGAACGGGUGAGUAACACGUGAGUAACCUGCCCUUGACUGUGGGAUAACGUCAGGAAACUGGGGCUAAUACGGGAUAGGAGCUCCUGCUGCAUGGUGGGGGUGGGAAAGUUUCGGCGGUUGGGGAUGGACUCGCGGCCUAUGAGCUUGUUGGUGGGGUAGUGGCUUACCAAGGCUUUGACGGGUAGCCGGCCUGAGAGGGUGACCGGCCACACUGGGACUGAGAUACGGCCCAGACUCCUACGGGAGGCAGCAGUGGGGAAUAUUGCACAAUGGGCGGAAGCCUGAUGCAGCCACGCCGCGUGCGGGAUGACGGCCUUCGGUUUGUAAACCGCUUUCGCCUGUGACGAAGCGUGAGUGACGGUAAUGGGUAAAGAAGCACCGGCUAACUCCGUG
rnacentral:rRNA from 1 species